rnacentral:lncRNA from 8 species
GGGGCCCUGCACUCCACAUGCCAGGUAUUUUAUUCUCCCGUCUCUCCUCAUCCCAUGGUAGGGGCUAAAGAGAGGCACGGUUAGCACAUAGAUUCCACUGUGAAUGCUGAGUGUGAGAUGUUAGCCGUGAGAGGUAGCAGAUUACACCAGUGUGGUGCUGCGCUCUGCCAGGCAGACUGAGGGAGCAUCACACAGCUGCUUUGAUCAGGGGGAGGGCAUACGCUGUCAGACCCAUCACACCUGUCUACCCACGAUUAGAUAGACAGAGCUGGGGCGGGGGACUGACAACUUACCACAGAGGCACUUGAAGGCAUACAUACAUACAGUACAAACACACACACACACGGAGACCAUCCUCAGUAGUGGAGAUGGACAAACAUAACUCCACUCAAAAGAAAUGUACACAGACACACAGUUGUAAGAGAAUAUAUGCUAACUCCUGUUGACUUGUAGAGGUUUGUGUUGCAUCCCUCCCAGGGAGUGUGAUCAGAGCAGUAACAGUGUGGUGGAGCAGUUUGGGCGGGAGCUUCUGGUCUCUGUCCCUCCAGACUCUAUCAUCCUGACCCGGGGAGACCUCCCAGGGAACUCCCUGCACUACUGACAGGGGCUCUGGCCUGACGCAUGCCUCGUUAACCAGGAGGUUACUACUUUGCCACUUAAGGUAAUUUGCAUUGGUUUUAAGUCCAGGUCAGGACUUCCAUUCAUUCAGCGUUAUGAUAACAGCAUUGUAAACAGAGGACGUACAUGAUAGACAGUAGAAGAUCCUAGUAAGGCUCCUGUUUGUUGACCUCUCUGCUCUUCCAGAUGAUGACGUACAGCUGGUACGUGGCCAAGCUGGGCCAGCAUCACCCUGGGGUUCACUUCCCAGGGCGCUGGUGGGACCCGGUCCAUAUUGAGGAGAAAGACACCUUCAGUCUGGAGCAGUUCCUCUCUCACAACGCACAGGGGGGCUGUGCUGGCCUGCAUCGGGCUGCCUGACCGGGACCCCAGCUGGGAGAGAAGCUUUUCUCACUGGCUCCUGGGUGUGUGUGACCACCUGGUGCCUGCCCAGGAGCCCUUCCACCCGGAGGAGUGGACCCGCCACACCCUCUACAUCUGGACCGAGCCACACAACAGGUACACAGUAUACUACACAUACAACCCAGAGGGCCCUCUGGAGGGGUGGGGGUCCUCCUCAGCAGGAGAAGCCUACAGUUCAUGGGAAGU